rnacentral:sRNA from 1 species
GAGAGCUGUGUGCCUGAAAGUGGCCAGAGGACAGUUUGAGGGGGGUCCUGAUGGAGGGUGGUGAGGGGGACACACUUCUGCCUGCAGAAGGAGGAGCUCAGUGUGGCCCACCCUACAGCUGUGGCAUCUCUGGUAACCUGUGGAGCCACCUGUCCCUCUCGUGGGCUUGUCUCUGGACUUGCUUCAGGCAGAGAAGAAUCCAGACACAGAGAGACAUUGGUGAAGGUCUGGCCGUGGGUCUGGGCUUCGGGGCACUGGCAGAGG